CCUACGGGAUGCAGCAGUGAGGAAUAUUGGUCAAUGGUCGGGAGACUGAACCAGCCAAGCCGCGUGAGGGAUGAAGGUACAGAGUAUCGUAAACCUCUUUUGUCAGGGAACAAAGGCGGGGACGUGUCCCCGGAUGAGUGUACCUGAAGAAAAAGCAUCGGCUAACUCCGUGCCAGCAGCCUCGGUAAUCCGGAGGAUGCGAGCGUUAUCCGGAUUUAUUGGGUUUAAGGGGUGCGCAGGCGGUUUGUUACGUCAGCGGCCACAGCCCGGGGCUAAACCCCGGCCCGACGUUGAAACUGGCAGUCUCGAGUGGGAGAGAAGUAUGCGGAAUGCGCGGUGUAGCGGUGAAAUGCAUAGAUAUCGCGCAGAACUCAGAUUGCGAAGGCAGCAUGCCGGCUCCACACUGACGCUGAGGCACGAAAGCGUGGGUAUCGAACAGGAUUAGAUACCCCAGUAGUC
rnacentral:rRNA from 1 species